rnacentral:rRNA from 1 species
AUUGAACGCUGGCGGCAGGCUUAACACAUGCAAGUCGAGCGGGGUGAUGGUGCUUGCACUAUCACUUAGCGGCGGACGGGUGAGUAAUGCUUAGGAAUCUGCCUAUUAGUGGGGGACAACAUCUCGAAAGGGAUGCUAAUACCGCAUACGUCCUACGGGAGAAAGCAGGGGAUCACUUGUGACCUUGUGCUAAUAGAUGAGCCUAAGUCGGAUUAGCUAGUUGGUGGGGUAAAGGCCUACCAAGGGGACGAUCUGUAGCGGGUCUGAGAGGAUGAUCCGCCACACUGGGACUGAGACACGGCCCAGACUCCUACGGGAGGCAGCAGUGGGGAAUAUUGGACAAUGGGGGGAACCCUGAUCCAGCCAUGCCGCGUGUGUGAAGGAGGCCUUAUGGUUGUAAAGCACUUUAAGCGAGGAGGAGGCUCCUUUGGUUAAUACCCAAGAUGAGUGGACGUUACUCGCAGAAUAGGCACCGGCUAACUCUGUGCCAGCCGCCGCUGUAA